UACGAAGGGGGGCUAGCGUUGUUCGGAUUUACUGGGCGUAAAGCGCACGUAGGCGGAUCGUUAAGUCGGGGGUGAAAUCCUGGAGCUCAACUCCAGAACUGCCUUCGAUACUGGCGAUCUUGAGUCCGGAAGAGGUGAGUGGAACUCCUAGUGUAGAGGUGGAAUUCGUAGAUAUUAGGAAGAACACCAGUGGCGAAGGCGGCUCACUGGACCGGAACUGACGCUGAUGCGCGAAAGCGUGGGGAGCAAACGGGG
rnacentral:rRNA from 1 species